rnacentral:rRNA from 1 species
UACGUAGGGAGCAAGCGUUGUCCGGAUUUAUUGGGCGUAAAGAGCUCGUAGGCGGCUUAGCAAGUCAGAUGUGAAAACUCCAGGCUCAACCUGGAGACGCCAUUUGAUACUGCUAUGGCUUGAGUUCGGUAGGGGACCAUGGAAUUCCUGGUGUAGCGGUGAAAUGCGCAGAUAUCAGGAGGAACACCGGUGGCGAAGGCGGUUCUCUGGGCCUGUACUGACGCUGAGGAACGAAAGCGUGGGGAGCGAACAGG